UUUUUAGUAGAGAUGGGAUUUCAUCACAUUGGCCAGGCUGGCCUCGAACUCCUGACCUCAAGUGAUCCACCCACCUUGGCCUCCCAAAGUGCUGGGCUUACAGGUGUGAACCAAUGCGCCUGGGCUGGUCUUAACAGAAAUGCAUGCAAGACCCUGUGUAAUGAGCACACAAAUAGUCAUCUUUUACUUACUAGCAUAAGACCAGGUUGGCUUUGUGAAGCAGCACACUACAAAAACUCAGAGGAUAAUGUGCUGUGUGAGAUGAUCAGAAAUGGAAAACCUGUGGAUUAAGAAUCCUUGCCUUUUUUCGUGAUAAGUAGCUUCUUAUAAAUUGAAUUAAGAUUCUUUGUAUCAGGGAUCAAGGUACUGAAAUGCAAGGAGAAAAGAGGUGAGAGCAGCUAGCCAUGCUCUUCCCUGCUAGGGAUCCUUGUGAGUUCCAGAGAGGUGCCUAACAGUGACCCACAUGAAGAAGCAGACCAGGUUUGGCUUUGAGAUUGAGUAGGGUGUGCUAGCUGUUACAUCAUAUGAACUGUAGUCUACCUUAGGUCCUCUAGGUCCCAUGGCUCCUGGAAAGCCCUAGAAAAAUCCACAAAUGAAAAUCACAGCAGGAAAUGCAUCCAACCAGAAAAAUUCUUUUAAUAACUUUUUAAUAAUAAAUAAUGAAUCUAUUAGUUGACAGAGUCUGUAGCAAGGAUGACUUGAUACUCACAAAGAAUCCCGGAGGACCAGGUGGGCCAACAGGCCCAGGAAAACCUGGAGGGCCUGGCAAACCCUUGAAAUUGAGAGAAGAAUAAGACCUCAGAUGAAAACAACCAGUUGAGCUCCAAGUUUUCUUUCUGUGGGAGAACUUUCCUUAAAAGACAAUUAGAAAGCAAGGAAUGCGAAGAAAGAAAAUGGGAAGUUUCCUGCCUCCAAAUUAUGCUGUUGGUUCUGGCCUAAAGGAAUGUUUUCAAGGGAAGCCUGUCUGCCUUUCAUUGCCAUUUCACCUUGAUUUAAUCAUUCAGCAAAGCAUUUAUUAAUCAUCUUCUGUGUGAAAAGUACUUACCUUAGAACCACUGCAUCCUGGUACACCGACAAGUCCGUAAGGCCCGGUAUUGCCUGGGGUGCCCUGGAAGAAGAACAAGUCUCAAUGAGGAGGGUCAUCCCAAGAAACAGCACUGAACCCAAGGGAAAAGAUGCACUGAUUUAAAUAGCUCUUGAAAUAUAAAUGAUUGUUUAAAUGGUUAAGUAGUAAAUGUACAUUGUGGUUUUACAUAUAAUUUCAGUAGCAACAAACUAAACAGGCUGACUGAUAUGAAGACU
ensembl:lncRNA MFF-DT MFF divergent transcript